rnacentral:tmRNA from 1 species
GGGGGCGUAAAGGUUUCGACGGGGAUCAAGAAUCAUGAGAAGCGGGCAGUGGUGAGGACCCACUAUAAAAUCUUCAAAAACAAUAGCUGACAAUAAUAAAUUAGCUUUAGCGGCUUAAUUAUAGCCGCUCGUCGUGACCGUUGAGUACUGCGUAGACGGUUGUGGCGUAAUAUUUAGCAGUGAACGUGAGCGGUCCAAAGCUUUGCGGAGCGCCAUGAACUUAUGAAGCUACCGACUCGGCGGCCUGACUAUCGGCCUGCCGACGGGGGAAUCCUGUAGAUAGUCUGCGCCCGGAGAUGCCCAUGGGGAAAGGUUUUCGGACGCGGGUUCAAUUCCCGCCGCCUCCACCA